UGGGGAAUAUUGCACAAUGGGCGCAAGCCUGAUGCAGCCAUGCCGCGUGUAUGAAGAAGGCCUUCAGGUUGUAAAGUACUUUCAGCGGGGAGGAAGGGAGUAAAGUUAAUACCUUUGCUCAUUGACGUUACCCGCAGAAGAAGCACCGGCUAACUCCGUGCCAGCAGCCGCGGUAAUACGGAGGGUGCAAGCGUUAAUCGGAAUUACUGGGCGUAAAGCGCACGCAGGCGGUUUGUUAAGUCAGAUGUGAAAUCCCCGGGCUCAACCUGGGAACUGCAUCUGAUACUGGCAAGCUUGAGUCUCGUAGAGGGGGGUAGAAUUCCAGGUGUAGCGGUGAAAUGCGUAGAGAUCUGGAGGAAUACCGGUGGCGAAGGCGGCCCCCUGGACGAAGACUGACGCUCAGGUGCGAAAGCGUGGGGAGCAAACAGG
rnacentral:rRNA from 1 species